rnacentral:rRNA from 1 species
GGAAUCUUGCACAAUGGGCGCAAGCCUGAUGCAGCCAUGCCGCGUGAGUGAAGAAGGCCCUAGGGUUGUAAAACUCUUUCAGCGGGGAAGAUAAUGACGGUACCCGCAGAAGACGCACCGGCUAACCCCGUGCCAGCAGCCGCGGUAAGACGGAGGGGGCUAGCGUUGUUCGGAAUUACUGGGCGUAAAGCGCGCGUAGGCGGAUCGCCAAGUUGGGGGUGAAAUCCCGGGGCUCAACCCCGGAACUGCCUCCAAAACUGACGGUCUUGAGUCCGGAAGAGGUGAGUGGAAUUCCUAGUGUAGAGGUGAAAUUCGUAGAUAUUAGGAAGAACACCAGUGGCGAAGGCGGCUCACUGGUCCGGUACUGACGCUGAGGUGCGAAAGCGUGGGGAGCAAAC